GCUUACUUAGGCGACAUAUAAACU
rnacentral:miRNA from 1 species